CGAUUCGUUCGGGGCAGAUAGCUGAGUAACAUGUGGCCAACCUGCCCUGUGGAUGAGGAUAACCUCGGGAAACUGAGGCUAAUACUCAAUAGCAGAGGAUAUCUGGAAUAGAUUCCUCUGUGAAAUGUUCCGACGCCAUAGGAUGGGGCCGCAGCUGAUUAGGUCGUUGGUGAGGUAACGGCUCACCAAGCCAGUAAUCAGUAGCAGCCGUGAGAGCGGGAGCUGCCAGUCGUGUUCUGAGACAAGAACACGGACCCUACGGGGUGCAGCAGGCACGAAACCUUUACAAUGCACUAACGUGCGAUAAGGGGACUCCGAGUGUAGUCUUCCCACAAGGAAGGCUACUUUUCUGUACUGUAAGGAGGUACCGGAACAAGGGGUGGGCAAUACUGCUGCCAGCCGCCGCGGUAAUAGCAGAACCCCAAGUGGUAGUCAUUAUUAUUGGGUUUAAAGUGUUCGUAGCCGGAUCUGCAAGUCCGCUGUGAAAUCCACAUGCUUAACAUGUGGGCGUGCAGCGGAUACUGCAGGUCUAGGAACCGGACGGCGUCGAGGCUAUUCCAAGGGUAGGGGUGAAAUCCUAAAAUCCUUGGAGGAGCACCUGUGGCGAAAGCGCUCGACGAGUACGGAUUCGACGGUGAGGAACGAAAGCUAGGGGAGCAAAGCGGAUUAGAUACCCGCGUAGUCCUAGCUGUAAACAUUGUCUGUUUGAUGUCGGAGAACCUUCGAGGUUUUCCGGUGCCGAAGUGAAAA
rnacentral:rRNA from 1 species